rnacentral:rRNA from 1 species
CCUACGGGAGGCAGCAGUGAGGAAUAUUGGUCAAUGGCCGGAAGGCUGAACCAGCCAAGCCGCGUGAAGGACGAAGGUGCCAAGCAUUGUAAACUUCUUUUGUCAAGGGACAAAAUCAGGCUCGAGAGCCUGACCGAGGGUACUUGAAGAAAAAGCAUCGGCUAACUCAGUGCAAGCAGCCCCGGAAAUACGGAGGAUGCGAGCGUUAUCCGGAUUAAUUGGGUUGAAAGUGUGCGUAGGCGGACUGUUAAGUCAGCGGUAAAAGCCCGGGGCUCACACCCGGCGAGACGUUGAAACUGGCUGUCUUGAGAUGUCGAGAGGUAUGCGGAAUGCGCAGUGUAGCGGUGAAAUGCUUAGAUAUUGCGCAGAACUCCGAUUGCGAAGGCAGCAUACCGGCGGCGAUCUGACGCUGAGGCACGAAAGCGUGGGUAUCGAACAGGAUUAGAUACCCUUGUAGUC